UUUUGAUGAUGGCCACUCUGACUGGUGUGAGGUGAUACCUCAUACUUCUUUUUUUUAAUUAGUUAAUUUUUGGCUGCAUUGGUUCUUUGUUGCUGCAUGUGGGCUUUCUCUAGGUUCAGUGAGUGCGGGCUACUCUUCAUUGUGGUGUGCAGGCUUCUCAUUGCAGUGGCUUCUCUUGUUGUGGAGCUUGGGCUCUAGGCACGUGGGCUACAGUAGUUGUGGCAUGCGGGCUCAGUAGUUGUGGCUCACAGACUCUAGAAUGCAGGCUCAGUAGUUGUGGCACAUGGGCUUAGUUGCUGCAUGGCAUGUGGGAUCUUCCCUGACCAGUGAUUAAGCCCAUGUCCCCUGCAUUGGCAGGUAGAUUCCCAGCCACUGCUCCACCAGGGAAGUCCCGAUUUCUUUACUUCUAAUUUUGGGUUUUAUUUGUUUUUCUUUCUCUAGUUCCUUUAGGUAUAAUUUUAUGUUGUUUGAUAUUUUUCUUGUUUCCUGAGGUAAGCUUGUGUCACUAUAAACUUCUCUCUUAAAACUGCUUUUGUUGCAUCCCAUAGGUUUUGGACUGUUGUGUUUUCAUUUUCAUUUUUCUGUAGGUAGUUUUUUAAAUUUCCAUUUUGAUUUCUUCAGUGAUCCAUUGGUUGUUUAGUCCAUAUAGUUUUGCCUUCACAUGUUUGUGCUUUUUGCAGUUUUUUUCUUGUAGUUGAUGUCUAGUCUCAUAGCAUUGUGGUCGGAAAAGACGCUUGAUAUGAUUCCAAUUUUCUUAAAUUUACUGAGGCUUGUUUUGUGGCCUAUCAUGUGAUCUAUCCUGGAGAAUGUUCCAUGCACACUUGAAAAGAAUGUGUAUUCUGCUGCUUUCGGAUGGAAUGCUUUAUAUAUAUAUCAAUUAAGUACAACUUGUCUAAUAUGUCAUUUAAGCCCAGUAUUGUUUAUUUUUUGUCUGGAUUAUCUAUCCAUUUAUGUAAGGGGGUUGUUAAAGUCCCCCACUUUUAUUGUGUUACUGUCAAUAAGAAAAAUGAACACAAGCAUACUACUAAAGGAAAUCAUCAAACGAAAUGGAGAGAAACUAAAAGAAGAAGAAAAGAACAGGGAAAACUGACAAAAAUAAUCAGAAAACAGGUAUAAGUACAUACCUAUCAAUAAUUACUUUAAAUGUUAGUGGACUAAAUGCUCCAAUCAAAAGAUACAGGGUGGCUGGAUAAAAAAAACAAGACCCAUCUAUAUGAUGCUUACAAGAGACUCACUUCAGAACUAAACACACAUGCAUACUGAAAAUGAAGGGAUGGAAAAAGAUAUUUUAUGCAGAUGGAAAUGAUAAGAAAGGGGUGUACCAAUAAUAUCAGGAAAAAUCUUUAAAGCAAAGUCUCAACAACAGACAAAGAAGGGCAUUAUAUUAUGAUAAAGGGAUGAAUACAAGAAGUGUAUAUUUUACUUUUUAACAUUUAUGGAUCCAAUGUAGGAGUACCUAAGUAUAUAAAGCAAAUACAGAUAUAAAGGGGAAAUUUGACAAUACAAUAAUGGCAGGGUACUUUAGCACCCCAAUUUCAUCAAAGGACAGAUCAUCAAGCUCUAAAGACUUUACCAAAAAACUAUUAUAAAUAAGAGAUGGAUUCAGUAAAGUUGCAGAACAGAAAAUUAAUACACAGAAAUCUGUUAAAUUUCUAUACAGUAAUAAUGAGCUGUCAGAAAGAGAAGUGAAGAAAACUAUCCCAUUUACAGUUGUAUCAAAAAGAAUAAUACACCCAGGAACAAAUUUAACGAGGUGAAAUACCUGGACUCUGAAGAGUAGAAGAUAUUGUUGAAGAAGACACAAAUAAAUGGAAAGAUAUUUCCUGCUCAUUGAUUGGAAGAAUUCACAUUGUUUAAAUGUCCAUAUUAUUUAAAAGAAUCUAUGCAUUCAGUGCAAUUCCUGUCUGAAUCUUAAGGACAUUUUUCAUAGAAAUAGAACAAAAAAAUUCUAAAAUUUAUGUGGAACCACAAAAUACCCCAAAUAGUCAAAGCAACCCUGAGAAAAAAGAUCAAAUCUGGAGGUGUAACACUCUUUAGUUUCAAAGUAUAUUACAAAGGUAUAGUAAUCAAAACAGCAUGGUAUUGGCAGAAACUCAGACAUAUGUGGGCAAUUAAUUUAUGAUAAAGUAGCAAAGAACAUACAGUGGAGAAACAAUACUCUUUUCAGUAAAUGAUGUUGGGGAAACUUGACAGUCACAUGCAAAGCAAAAAGAAAAAUGAAACUAGAUCGAUCACCUUGUUUCACCAUAAAGAAAAAUCACCUGAAAAUGGAUUGUAUGUAAGCUUUGAAUGUAAGAACUGGAACCAUAAAACUAGAAUAAAACAUAGGCAGUAUGCUCUUUGAAAUCAGUCGCAGCAUUAUCUUUCUGGAUAUGUCUCCUCAGGCAUGGGGACCAAAACAAAAACAAAUGAGACUACAUUAAACUAAAUAGUUUCUGCCUAUCAAAGGAAAUCAUCAACAAAACAAAAAGAGAACCUCCUGAAUGGGAGAAGAUAUUUGCAAAUCAUAUAUCCAAUAAGGGGUUAAUAUCCAAAAUAUAUAAAGAAUUCAUAGAACUCAAAAACAAAAGCAAACAACCUGAUUAAAAAGGGGGGCAGAGGAAAUGAAUAGACAUUUUCCAAAGAAGACAUACAGAUAGCCAACAGGCACAUGAAAAAAUAUUCAACAUCGGUAAUUAUUAGUGAAAUAAAUAUCUGGUAAAGAUAAAUACAUGGGAAAUUGUGUAAUGCCAAUUUUUAUUUUCUACAUGAUUGAAAAGAUAAAUGCAUUAGAAUUAUCAUUCUAUUUAUCGGGCACACAAUUUAUAACUAUGUAGUCUAUGUCAUCAAUGAUAGAAAGAGGGAAGGACAGAGCUCUACUGGAGCAGGGGUUUUGUAUGAUAUUGAAGUUAAGGUGGUAUACAUUCUUUUUUGUUUUUUAAUUGAAGUGUAACUGAUUUACAAUGUUGCGCCAAUCUCUGCUGUACAGCAAAGUGACUCAGUUAUACACAUAUAGACAUUCUUUUUUUAAAUAUUUUUUUCCAUUUUGUUUUAUCCUAGGACAUUGGAUAUAGUACCCCUUGCUAUACAGUAGGACCGUUUUGUUUAUCCAUUCUAAAUCAGACCUGUCCUUCAAUGAAUGCUAAAGAGAGUCCUUUAGUUUGAAAUAUAUGGAUACUAGACAGUAACUCAACUCGACAUGAAGAAAUAAAGAACAGCAGGAAACGUAACUAAAUAGGAUCAUCACUCAAACAAUGAGAUCCAACUAUCAGGAGAACUCGAGGAGUCAAGAUGGCAGAAUAGGAGGAUGUGGAAUUCACCUUUCCUCACAAGUACAUCAAGAAUACAAACAAUCUACGAAUGGAACAGUUCUCACAGAGCACUUGCUGAACACUAGUAGAAGACCUUGGAUACAUAAAAGGACAAGAAAAAUCCCCACACAACUGGGUAGGAUGAAAGAAAGAAAAUAAGAAAUGGAAAGGGACCAGCACUGCUGGCAGAGAGCUAAAAGUGAGGAGAGGUUCCCACGUGCAGAAAGCCCCCUCAAGGUGGGAAGAUUAGUUGGGGCAGAAAGAGGCCUUUGGGGGAUCAGAGUGGAAUGCAACAACCAGUCUGUGGAAGGCAGGACAAAGUAAGAACUGCAUGCAUGAUCCAUGCCACAGCCCUGCACACCUGAGUUGUGUGUCUCCUGGUGUGGAGAGGGGCUGGGUGCUGGAAAGUGGGAUUUGGAGAGUGGAUCCAGGGAGGGGACAGCUGUUGGCUGUGAAGAGACAGCCUGAAGGGACAGGAGUAAAGAGCUCCACAACCAGGAAAGUUUGUGGAAGAAACCCAGGACACUAUAGAAGCAAGGCGUCAUUGUUGAGUGGUGUGCAAGGGGUGGGACCGCCAUUGCAACCCCCUUUCUCACCCAUUGGCUCCUGCCUCCAUGGGCACUGGGAGGGGAACCCAUCUGAGCAGGCUCACCCACCCUUCAAGCCAAAGCUUCCUCCACCCAUGCAGGCUCUGGGGUCAUGAGCACCACCACCACCAAAGCCUCCUUUGGCUGCACAGGCCCCAGCGGGCCCACACGUGCCACCCAUGCCAAAGCCUCCUUGGGAAUCAGCCCUGGGUGCCCCAGCCUGAGAUGGGAAUCCGCCAAUGCUGGUGGGGGCUGAGUGCUAAGCAUGGGGUUAGGAGAGCGGAUUUGGGGAAAGGACCACUCUUGGCUGUGUGGAGACAGCCUAACGGGAUGGGAGUGAAGGGCUCCAGCAGCUGGGAAUGCUCCUAGAGGAAGGGUGGUCUGCCUUGGAAAGGAGGCACCAUUGUCGUGUGGUGUGCAAGGGGCGGAGCCACAGUCACAGACUCUCUUCUAACAUGCCAGCCCCUGCCUCCACGGGCACUGGGAGGGACUCCUGCCAGAGCAAGCACAGCCCAAUCUGUUGCAACUUCCUGCUGGUCUCUGCUGCUGCAGGCACUUCGCACAUGCCCCAGUUGCGACCGCCUUAUCCCUCCCCAGCCUAAGUAAGUGUGCCCCAAUCAGCCGCUGCUUUUGUCCCCUCUUGCCUGGGUGGGAGUCAGAGGCCUGAGGUUGCCCUACACACAGAGGUGGGGCCAAAACCAAAGCUGGGCCCCAGGGGAUGUGUGACAAAGGAAGAGGAAUGGAAAUCUCUCCAUGCAGCUGCACAAGCCAUGGAUUAAAUCCCUGCAAUCAACUUGGUAAACCCUGCAUGUGUGGACUAUCUGAAUGAACAAGGAGUGCUCCCACAACUGAGACCAGUCUAGCUUUAGCAGCUGUGGACUUUGGGGGCAAGUACAUGUGGGAGUUGGCCCCAGGAAAACUGUUGUUACUAUUAAAUUUUUUGUUACAUUUUGUUC